GCAACAGUGUAGCAUAAUGGUAAGUUGCUUGGCUUGUAACCAAAAGCUUGCCAGUUCAAUUCCCUGCUGGGGCA